AAACUGCGAUACUUAAUGCGAAUUGCAGGAUUCAGUGAGUCAUCAAAAUUUUGAACGCACAUUGCACUUUCGGAUUUAUCCGUUAGUAUGCCUGUAUCAGUGUCGACAUUUAAUUGAACUCUCGAUGAUUUUAUUAUCAUAGAUAGAUCAGAUGAUGGAAUUACGCGUGUUUCACGUGUGUUUCGAAAUAAAUACUCUACAAAUAAGACCUCAUCUUGUGUGCUCGAGUUAGUAUUCUUUAAUGAAUUCAUAUUUUCUUUCGGGAAAGUGUAAACAAAUUGAUGAAAAUUAACGAUGAAAGUAUGUAUAAGAUUAGUUGUAUUUGCGUAUCUCUUUUGUUGACCUGAUAUCAGGUAAGAUUACCCGCUGAAUUUAA
rnacentral:misc_RNA from 1 species